AGAGUUCGAUCCUGGCUCAGGAUGAACGCUGGCGGCGUGCUUAACACAUGCAAGUCGAACGAGAAAUGAUAUUACGAUCUCUUCGGAGUGACGGUUUUAUUUCGAGUGGCGGACGGGUGAGUAACGCGUGAGCAACCUGCCCUAUACCGGGGGAUACCAGUUGGAAACGACUGUUAAUACCGCAUAAGCGCACGAUAAGACAUCUUGUUGUGUGAAAAACUCCGGUGGUAUAGGAUGGGCUCGCGUAUGAUUAGCCAGUUGGCGGGGUAAAGGCCCACCAAAGCGACGAUCAUUAGCCGACCUGAGAGGGCGACCGGCCACAUUGGGACUGAGACACGGCCCAAACUCCUACGGGAGGCAGCAGUGGGGAAUAUUGCACAAUGGGCGAAAGCCUGAUGCAGCGACGCCGCGUGAGUGAGGAAGUAUUUCGGUAUGUAAAGCUCUAUCAGCAGGGAAGAAAGAAAUGACGGUACCUGAGUAAGAAGCUCCGGCUAAAUACGUGCCAGCAGCCGCGGUAAUACGUAUGGAGCAAGCGUUAUCCGGAUUUACUGGGUGUAAAGGGAGCGUAGGCGGCAGAGCAAGUCUGAUGUGAAAGCCCGGGGCUCAACCCCGGUAGUGCAUUGGAAACUGUUCAGCUCGAGUGUCGGAGGGGUAAGCGGAAUUCCUGGUGUAGCGGUGAAAUGCGUAGAUAUCAGGAAGAACACCGGAGGCGAAGGCGGCUUACUGGACGAUUACUGACGCUGAGGCUCGAAAGCGUGGGGAGCGAACAGGAUUAGAUACCCUGGUAGUCCACGCUGUAAACGAUGAAUACUAGGUGUCGGUACCCGAAGGGUAUCGGUGCCGUCGCAAACGCAUUAAGUAUUCCACCUGGGGAGUACGUUCGCAAGAAUGAAACUCAAAGGAAUUGACG
rnacentral:rRNA from 1 species